CUUCAUUUGUGCACUUUUCCAUCUUUUCUUGAGUCCAACUCCUUCCUACUUCAGCUUCCUUCAUUCAGUUCAUGUUAAAUCCUGCAAAAACAAGGAAAACCAAGCAUAAAACCAAGAAAAUAAACCUUUGACUCUCUUAUUUUCUAACUUAAGCAAAAUGCAUGAUUUCAUGCUAGUUUCUAAGUCAUAAAGGGUGUGUUUAGUGUCAACUUUAAGUAUAAAAAUAACGGUUUUUGAAUCGUUAUUGUUGAGAUUGUUGACAAUACAAUUUCUAUAUCAAUCUAGUUUUUUAUGAUGACGACACAUUGCUUAAUAACAUACACAUGUUGUUACUGAAUUACAUGCUCUUAUGCUGAUUGAUUGUCAUAUCUGUUGAACAUGUUACUCAAUUAAGGCUUUCCCAAUUUUGUGGUUUUCAAUGUUGCAAGGAAUAGUAAAACUUCAUGGGUCUUCUAUCUUUGAAGGAAGUGUCCUCUGCAAGAUCACGCUGCAAUCCCCUUGUUUCUCAAUUGUCUCUUCUUUUAAAUUUUUCUUUUUGAGGAGCCUCUUCAAAAAUUUCUUGUAUUCAGGGAUCUGUUGCAGGGCCUCUAUCACAGGAAUUUGUAUCCCCAAAUCUCUGGAGAUCUCUUCAAAACACCUUGCUUGCAUCUCUUUUGUGUCAUGUUCCUCAGGGUGGUGAACAUUUUUCUCACUUUUUUCAAUUUUUUCUUUUUCUUCUUUUUUUCUCUCAACCUCUUCUUUUCUCUCAAUCUCACUCUUUUCUUCACUCUGAAUUUUUUUUCUCUUUUCCCUCUUUUCUCUCUAGAUCACUUAAUCUUUCUUUUUCUCUUUUUCUCUCAAAUUUUUCUUCUUUCUUACUCUCUUUUUCUUUUCUCUCUGUUUCUCUCUCAUUUUCCAUGCUUGUUAUAGCCUUACAUUCCUC
rnacentral:lncRNA from 1 species